GUGCAGCAGUCGAGAAUUUUUCUCAAUGGGGGAAACCCUGAAGGAGCGACGCCGCGUGGAGGAUGAAGGUCUUCGGGUUGUAAACUCCUGUCAUUUGGGAACAAGGUGCACGUGUUUACCGCACGUGUAUUGAUAGUACCAGAAGAGGAAGAGACGGCUAACUCUGUGCCAGCAGCCGCGGUAAUACAGAGGUCUCAAGCGUUGUUCGGAUUCAUUGGGCGUAAAGGGUGCGUAGGUGGCGCCGUAAGUCAGGUGUGAAAUCUCGGGGCUUAACUCCGAAACUGCAUUUGAUACUGCGGUGCUUGAGGACUGGAGAGGAGACUGGAAUUUACGGUGUAGCAGUGAAAUGCGUAGAGAUCGUAAGGAAGACCAGUGGCGAAGGCGGGUCUCUGGACAGUUCCUGACACUGAGGCACGAAGGCCAGGGGAGCAAACGGGAUUAGAUACCCGCGUAGU
rnacentral:rRNA from 1 species